rnacentral:lncRNA from 1 species
GACAUUCUAGAAUGUCAGGUACAACAGAGACAGCUGUUUGUCCCCCAGUAUCCUUCAGACAAAGCCAUAUAUGAUUGAAGGUUAUCAGUACUGUGCUUUUGGAGGAUUCAGAAGAAGUUAUAUCUGAUUGGGAGAUUGAAAAGGAUUGGCCUGAAGGAGAGGUGGUUUUUGAACUGCAUCUUAAAGGAUGAGGAAACUGAGGCUGAGAGGGUAGAGAACUUUGCCUGAGGUCACUCAGCAGGGACCCACCCAUCACAGUAAAUGCCAGCACUGCUGAUGCCAAAACAAUGUUAUUUGUGCCUGAACACCCUGUCCUACCUGGUCCUACCUGGAUGCUGGCCUCAGUAAGCUCCUGGGCUCAUUGAAGAUGAACCUAGCAGUAGUAUUUACACCACUUGUUGUGUGCCCACUGUGGGCCCGGCGCCAUGCCGAGUGCUCUAUGGAUGUGAGAUGAGAACACUGAAGCAGUUUUUUCUAAAGAUAGCUGCCUGGCACAGUGGCUCACAUCUGUAGUCCCAGCAUUUGGGGAGGCCAAGGCAGGUGGAUCACUUGAGGCCAGGAAUUCAAGACCAGCAUGGCCAACAUGUGCUGGGAGAGAAAAGCAUACGACAUAGACAGGGAGGUCAAGCUCCACCACGCAGAUGAGGUGCAGGCCACCAGUCUUCCUCUGCCACAUCUCUUUCUGAAAAGGCAGCCUGUGCUGAGAAACCAUGACUGAGUAAGCCAAGCUUUGUUGGCCGCACCUGCCAAGCCACAGGGUGCCUCAGGCUUGGAGCAUCCCGGAGCCAGUUACAACCCAAGACUUCAGCCUUCUGGAAGGUGUUGGGUCAGCCACCCUGAAGGACGAUCCUGCCCAAGUGACAUGCUUUGCUCUUCCUUCUCACCCAGGACUUCACAUUCACCCUUGCAAUCCAUGUGGGGACACUGUUGGAUAGGAGGCGUGGUCCCAGCGUGGUCUCCCUGUCUGGGCCUCUGCCUAUGCCAAAUGUUUGCCUUACGCUGCACACUCAAGAGGUUCCAUGUAUACAGAUGGGAAUUCCAGAGCUACAGAAAAGGCAGCAAGCACCAUGAUUUAAGCUAACCAGUGUGGAUUCACACCUUCCUCUCUCUCUAUCAGUGGCAGAACUACCAGCUAGAGUAAGAAGUGGUUGAUCCAGGACCUAAACAUUCUGGAAACUCUUGCCCACUUCUGGGAGAAAUGACCCAAUCCAUAGUACUAAGCACACCUUAACUUUCGUAGGACGCAGGCAAGUUGUCAUACCGUGUGCCUAAAUAUAGAAAAAUGAUCCACUGGACUAAUAAAGUGUUAAAUAAAAUAUGUCCUGACUG